GUUCGAUUUAGGGUUUGAUUUAGAGUAGAGGGUUUGGAUUAGGAUUUGAUUAGGGUUUGAUUUAGGGUUUGGAUUAGGAUUUGGUUAGAAUUUGAUUUAGAAUUUGGAUUAGGGUUUAGAUUAGGGUUUAGGAUUUAGUUAGGAUUUAGGGUUGGAUUAGGGUUUGGAUUAGGAUUUAGGAUUUAGUUAGGGUUUGAUUUAGGAUUUGGAUUAGGGUUUGGAUUAGGAUUUGAUUUAAGAUUUGGUUUAGGAUUUAGGAUUUGGAUUAGGAUUUAGAGUUGGAUUAGAAUUUGGAUUAGGGCUUAGGAUUUGGUUUAGAGUUUAGGAUUUGAAAUAGGAUUUGAUUUAGGAUUUAAUUUAAGGUUUGUUUAGGAUUUGAUUUAGGAUUUAGGAUUUAUUAGGGUUUAAGAUUUAAUUAGAUUUGGUCUAAAGUUUGAGUGAAAUUCAAUAAGGUUUUAACUAGAAUUAAAUUAAGAUUGAAUUGACAUAUAUUUGAGUAAUAUUUGUGUUCAUUCUAAUAUUUCUUUAAGAAUUUUAUUGUUUAUUUGAAAUUUCUUUGAGUUGUUUUGAAUUUGAUUACGUUUGUUUAUCAUUAUUAUAGUCUAAUUAGAGCAUUGUUAGUAUUCUAUUAGAAUUAAGAUUUUAUUAUCACAAUUUCUAUUCUUCCUUCUACAUCCAGGUACCCGGAGCAUUCUCAAGCAAGACUUCAUACAUUACGACAACGUUGAGGUCCACUUGUAU
rnacentral:lncRNA from 1 species